rnacentral:rRNA from 1 species
GACGAACGCUGGCGGCGUGCUUAACACAUGCAAGUCGAACGCUGAAGCUCAGCUUUUGUUGGGUGGAUGAGUGGCGAACGGGUGAGUAACACGUGAGUAACCUGCCCCCUUCUUUGGGAUAACGCCCGGAAACGGGUGCUAAUACUGGAUAUUCACUGGUCUUCGCAUGGGGGUUGGUGGAAAGGGUUUUUCUGGUGGGGGAUGGGCUCGCGGCCUAUCAGCUUGUUGGUGGGGUGAUGGCCUACCAAGGCUUUGACGGGUAGCCGGCCUGAGAGGGUGACCGGUCACAUUGGGACUGAGAUACGGCCCAGACUCCUACGGGAGGCAGCAGUGGGGAAUAUUGCACAAUGGGCGCAAGCCUGAGGCAGCGACGCCGCGUGAGGGAUGGAGGCCUUCGGGUUGUGAACCUCUUUCGCUCAUGGUCAAGCCGCAACAAUGGUUGUGGUGAGGGUAGUGGGUAAAGAAGCGCCGGCUAACUACGUG